AUUCUAUUGAUGUAUCCUUGUUAAAUUAAAAAAGGCCAGCCUUGAAAAUUCCCCGUGUAGACAAAAUCAGUUUAUUCAUACAAAUAAAGCUUAAGUUAGCUUAUUCCGCUAGGCUAAGUUGACCAGGGCCAUUUCUUGUAUGCCUUUCAAAUUAUUAGCAAAAUGUAAAUUUUUACCAAAGUUGGUAUGAGGUAACCAGUGAGUAAUUCUCUAUCAUUUAAGGAAAUUUUAAUAUUAUAAACAGUCAUUGACUUCUCACUAUGUAAACCAGUUUAUAACAAUGGACCCUGAGCCUCAUUCCAUGUUUUGGUUAGAGUGCUUUGGUUCAGGACCUGUCUUUUUGGUGUGUGUACAAUAAGCUUUUACUUAUUACUGCUUCAGCCAUUCAUUGAUUUUAUUUCAGACAUGUAUGCCCUUUUGACAUCCUCUAGCUCAGCGAUUCUUACUUCAGCUGUGUCCAGUCUGCUAAUGAACCCAUAAGAGUCAUUCUUCAUUUCAGUUGUAGUGUCUUUUAUCUCUUGAUUUCCUUUUUUGGCCCUUAAGAUUCCCAACUUUCAGCUUAUAAUGCCCUUCUGUUCUUGAAUGUCAUCUGUUUACCUGUUAGACCCCUUAGCAGAGUAAUCAUAGAUGUUUCCAAUUCUCAGUCUACUAAUUCCAAUAUCCCUGCCUUGUCUAAUUCUGGUAUUUCUUCUGCCUCUUCAAGCUGUAAUUGCUGUCUUUGAUAUGACUUGUAAUUUUUCUCUUGAUAGCAGACAUGAUGCCCUGGGUAAAAUCAGCAGCUGUAAAUGGGCCUUUAGUAAAGUGAUGUGGAGGGUGGGGGAGGGGGAGUUUUCAUAGUUCUGUAAGUAGGUCUCAGUCUUUAUUUCCUUUUAAAUUAUUUAUUUAUUUGUCUGUGCAGGAUUUUAGUUGUGGCCCCUGGAAUCUUUAGUUGCAGCAAGCAGGAUCCAGUUUCCUCACCAGGGAUCUAACCCAGGUCCGCGCAUUGGGAGCCUGGAAUGUUAGCCCCUGGACCAGUGGAGAAGUCACAGCCUCAGUCUUUUAAUGAGCCUAUAUAUCUGCACUGCAAAUUGCUUACAUAUUUCUCAUUCUCUCUUUCUUUUAGGGGACAGGAUAGCUAGUAUGGUCUGCAGAUGGGCAAGUCAGGUUUAAAAGCCAGCAGUUAAGGCCAUGCUUAAAUAGUUUCUCACCUGCUGGCAGCCUUAUUGAAGAACAGUAAGUUCAGGUGUUUUUCAUAAUAGUGCCUUUUUCUCUUUCCUCGCCUGAGGCUCUGGAAUCUUUUUCUCUAGUAUUUACUGUGAAAACUUGGUCAAGUUUCUGAGGUGAAACUCAGUUGUGUGAAGGGCCCCUUGGAGUUUUUUAAUUCUUGGACUUGUCUACUCUGAGCCCCCAUCAUCGAGUUACUUACAGUCGGGCUUUUUCCCUCUGGGAUGAGUUCUGGGGGAGUUUCAGCUCGUGACUUUCUGCUCUGGAGAGAAUACACAAUGACUGAGAGAACAAGAAUGCAUUGAACUGUUGACACGACUGAAUGCUUGCUGGGUGAAAAAUCAGUAAAGCCAAUGAUGGCACUGCCACUUUCCAAUAAGAGAGCAACUUCUAAACUUUCAGAUUUAACUGCAAACACAACUCUAUGAAAUAUGUAUUAUUAACUCGAAUACUCUGGCCACCUGAUGCAAGCUUCUGACUCAUUGGAAAACACGCUAAUGCUGGAAAGACUGAAGGCAGAAAGAGAAGAGGACCACAGAGGAUGGGAUGGCUGAAUGGUAUCACUGAUGCAAUGGACAUGAACUUGGGUAAACUCCAGGAGAUGGUGGGGGACAGGGAUGCCUGACAUACUGCAAUCCAUGGGGUCAUGAAGGGUCAAACAUGACUUGGUUACUGAACAACAAUGAACAAUUAUCAUCUCCUUUGUUUAGAUGAGAGAACUUAAUAAUAUGGGGUGGGUAAGAGUGCUUAUGAAGGUCACAUGGCUUCUGGGUUGUGUUGGCCAUUGAAUCCACUCGACUUGUCCCAGAUGAACAUUCUUGACUAAUAGCUUUAUAUGCCCUCUAGAAAGAUGUCAUCACAGACUCAAUGGACAUGAGUUUGAGCAAACUCUAAGAAAUAGUGAAGGAUAGGGAAGCCUGAUAAGCUGCAGUUUCAUGGGUUUGCAAGGAGUCAUACAGGGCUUAGCAGCUGAACAACAAGAAAGCUGUAGGUCUGUAUUGAAAUAGGGCCCUAAAUGGAGUCUGAAAGAAUAUUUUGCCAUUAAAGGGAAACAGCUCUAAACCUGGUUAAUGAAGUCACAAUAGUUUGCAGUUUUACUCAACAUCUUAUUCUUUUUUAAAAAUUAAUUUAUUUUGAAUUGAAGGAUAAUUGCUUUAUAGAAUUUUGCUGUUUUCUAUCAAUCCUCAACAUGAAUCAGCCAUAGGUAUACAUAUAUCCCCUUCCUU